AGAUGGCCCACCAAGUAAACCAUCUAUUGGACCACGUUGGAGAUUAAUUUCUGGAAAUGAAACAUCCUUUCUAGGGUCGAAUCCUUCAGAGGUGUUGGCAUUGCAAAGUACACGAAUAGAGUUCUUACGCAAGUAAGGGAUUAUGAACUAGUGGUAAUAAGAUGUUCACCCAAUCAUGGCAAGAGAGCAUGAAGUGAUCAGCUCCAAGGCUUCGAUUCCAAUAAGGGUAUCUUGCAGCAAUGACAUUGAUAUAGUCCCUGACUGUUCUUUUUAUGGGGCCAAAAUCGUGUGAGUCCCUUAUGUACACGUAUCGAACCAUCAUUACUACGCUAAAAGGAAGGAAAAACACAUGUGCUUUCUUGGGAUCUCUUGUUCUAAAAUGCUCAUUCAUUUCAAUAGCAUGGAUGAAGCUCCCCUCCGUGGAGUAUAUGCUGGCGCAUGGUCCUUCAUGGAAAACUGGAAGUUCCCCCUCUUCAUAGACAAAUACUUUGAAUUGUUUCUCCAUUUCUAAGUAGCUCCUAUUGUAGCAAUUUUUUGAAGAGAUGGAGAUUAAUAAGUGAUUUGUAAUGAACAAUGGAUAUAACUCAAAAUUGCAUAUAACAUUAUUCA